GCUCAGGAUGAACGCUGGCGGCGUGCCUAAUACAUGCAAGUCGAGCGAACAGAUAAGGAGCUUGCUCCUUUGAAGUUAGCGGCGGACGGGUGAGUAACACGUGGGUAACCUACCUAUAAGACUGGAAUAACUUCGGGAAACCGGAGCUAAUGCCGGAUAACAUAUAGAACCGCAUGGUUCUAUAGUGAAAGAUGGUUUUGCUAUCACUUAUAGAUGGACCCGCGCCGUAUUAGCUAGUUGGUAAGGUAAAGGCUUACCAAGGCGACGAUACGUAGCCGACCUGAGAGGGUGAUCGGCCACACUGGAACUGAGACACGGUCCAGACUCCUACGGGAGGCAGCAGUAGGGAAUCUUCCGCAAUGGGCGAAAGCCUGACGGAGCAACGCCGCGUGAGUGAUGAAGGUUUUCGGAUCGUAAAACUCUGUUAUUAGGGAAGAACAAAUGCGUAAGUAACGGUGCGCAUCUUGACGGUACCUAAUCAGAAAGCCACGGCUAACUACGUGCCAGCAGCCGCGGUAAUACGUAGGUGGCAAGCGUUAUCCGGAAUUAUUGGGCGUAAAGCGCGCGUAGGCGGUUUCUUAAGUCUGAUGUGAAAGCCCACGGCUCAACCGUGGAGGGUCAUUGGAAACUGGGAAACUUGAGUGCAGAAGAGGAAAGUGGAAUUCCAUGUGUAGCGGUGAAAUGCGCAGAGAUAUGGAGGAACACCAGUGGCGAAGGCGACUUUCUGGUCUGUAACUGACGCUGAUGUGCGAAAG
rnacentral:rRNA from 1 species